rnacentral:rRNA from 1 species
GACGAACCGUGCGAACGUUAUUCGGAAUCACUGGGCUUAAAGCGCGUGUAGGCGGGAGGGCACGUCGGUCGCUGAAAUCCCCCGGCUCAACCGGGGAAGUGGCGCCGAUACGACCUUCCUGGAGGAACGUAGGGGGACCUGGAACUUCCGGUGGAGCGGUGAAAUGCGUUGAGAUCGGAAGGAACGCCCGUGGCGAAAGCGAGGUCCUGGACGUUUUCUGACGCUGAGACGCGAAAGCCAGGGGAGCAAACGGG